CCUACGGGAGGCAGCAGUGGGGAAUAUUGCACAAUGGGGGAAACCCUGAUGCAGCGACGCCGCGUGAGUGAAGAAGUAUUUCGGUACGUAAAGCUCUAUCAGCAGGGAAGAAAAUGACGGUACCUGACUAAGAAGCCCCGGCUAACUACGUGCCAGCAGCCGCGGUAAUACGUAGGGGGCAAGCGUUAUCCGGAUUUACUGGGUGUAAAGGGAGCGUAGACGGCAGCGCAAGUCUGGAGUGAAAUCCCAUGGCUGAACCAUGGAACUGCUUUGGAAACUGUGCAGCUAGAGUGCAGGAGAGGUAAGCGGAAUUCCUAGUGUAGCGGUGAAAUGCGUAGAUAUUAGGAGGAACACCAGUGGCGAAGGCGGCUUACUGGACUGUAACUGACGUUGAGGCUCGAAAGCGUGGGGAGCAAACAGGAUUAGAUACCCGAGUAGUC
rnacentral:rRNA from 1 species